GCUCUUACCCCUUCUUGAGAAUCACUGACUGGAGAACUUUACUUAGAUUUGAUAAACAUUUGAUUGCCUAUAUGUGCCAUGGCCUGCUCAGUGAUUUAUUAUACAUUAUCAAUGUAUAAUUUAUAAACAAAUCAAGUAAAUUCAAAUAAAGUAUAAGUACCAAAGGGUCUAUAUUAUUAAAUGACCUAUGGACUAAAUAAAAGUUAAUUCUUUUAAACAAGUUUUAUU
rnacentral:lncRNA from 1 species